ensembl:lncRNA
AGAUAUUUAAAUGACGCAACGUCGUUUGCUUCUGUUCAAAAUGCGGCCUAAAGAGGCACAAGGUGGGUGAAUGAAUAUUUUCUCGUUCCGCGUAUAUAACCGAUCAUCACAACAUCAGGUGAUGUUUUAAUAUACUGUAAGUGCGUCAUCAGGCCUUCAUGUGUUUAAGUCAAGACAACAGGUGAAGAGAAAUUCUGCCAAAAAUAACGACAUACAAAUGAUUGGCCAUAAUGAAGCAGUGGAGGAUGGAGUUCUUUACGCACAGCGAUUCCAGAUGUGCCAAAUGUCCUCUUCUGAUCACCAGUAAAUCCACUCCUUCCUCUGCUGAUCAUAAGAAAAACUACUUUAGUUGGCCUUCCAAAAGAGGACGAUAUCUGCUUCGUCAUGCCUGGAGCUGAUCCGUGCUGGUCUUUGAGGAAAUACAUCAACAUCAACUGUGGAUCACCGAAUCGGCUUUCACCGUGGAUGAAGCGGAGUGCAGCCCGGGGUCAUCACAUAUGGUUGCCGCAAGCACAAGUUUUGCAUCUGCAAGUACAGAUGACAGGAAUACAGAUACCAUCUGCAAGAGCGACAAGUCUCAAAGCCAUCAGAGAAGCCGGAGGGUGUUCUGUGCCGAGAUCUUUCAUGUUGAGGGUGCUUCUGUGUGGAAAUGAGGCCACACGCAUAGUUUUUCUCUUGUCUACCACAUGACGAUUGAGGCUGUGAGGGGAAUAAUCGCAUAAAAAUAAAAGAUUUUACAUUGAAUUAACAUGUGCGCUGGAGAACAGCCAGACUCUCUCAGUAAGAUGAGGAAGUGUGUGGAGCGAGGCGGCGAGUCUCUCUCUGUCUCUCUCUCUCACCCUUACCUUUUACUUUCACUAAUAAGAGAUGGCCAAUUAAAGCCUUUUAGAGCCACAGCCUGAUCAAUACCCUCCAAGGAUCUUCCUAAAGAGAGUGAGCGAAAGAGAGGGUUAUAUUUAUGAUCCC